UUUGGAGUUGGAAGUGAGAGAAUCGUGUUUAAAGGAAAGGGUAGGUCAUCCACAGAACAGCUUUCAGUCAUUACAAAAAAAAAAUACUUCUUGCUUUUAUAUUACCAUCUUCCCCCAUUAGGCCUACCUGCAUACUGUGCUUCAUCAAAUCUAAGAUCACCUCACAACUAUACCAUUAUUUUAGGCACCACUAAAAGACAGUGUAUUGCUAACAAAACUAUGAUAAACCAUUGAUAAUAUAUCCAGAUUUCAGAGAUGUUACAGUGCAUCUUAGUUGAUGAAACAAAAAUAUACAAAACAUGAGACACAGUAAAAAUGAUAAGUACCACCUCAUUAUACCUUUUCACAAGCAAAUAGUGGCCAAAGAUGUGAACGGCCAGACACGGUAGCCGACAUAUGUAAUCCCAGAUACUCUGGAGGCUGAGGCAGAGGAUCACUUGAGCUCAGGAGUUUGAGACCGGCUUGGGCAAUAUAGUAAGACCCCACAGAAAAAUGUAAAGCCAGGUGUGAUGGCACACACCUGUAGUUCCAGCUACUGGGGAGGCUGAGGCAGGAGGGAUGGCUUGAACCCAGGAACUGGAGGAUGCAGUGAGCUAUGAUCACACCACUGGACUCCAGCCUGGGUGAUGGAGUGGGACAGUGUCUCUUUAAAAAAUGUGGGCCAGGUGCAGUGGCUCGCACCUGUCAUCCAAGCACUUUGGGAGGCUGAGGUUUGCUAAUUCACUGUUUACAGAGGACCUUAGAUGUCCCACUAUAAUUGCUCUUAGGUAUUUUUAACAAAUGAAUAGUCAUAAUUCACAGAAAAGACAAGUGGUACUUUUUAUCUACAUAGACUAUACUAUAUAAACUUUCAGUAAAACAUUUAAAUUGUUUUACUUUUAAUCUUGUCAAGUAAUUU
rnacentral:lncRNA from 10 species